rnacentral:rRNA from 1 species
GAUGAACGCUGGCGGCGUGCCUAAUACAUGCAAGUCGAGCGAACAGACGAGGAGCUUGCUCCUCUGACGUUAGCGGCGGACGGGUGAGUAACACGUGGAUAACCUACCUAUAAGACUGGGAUAACUUCGGGAAACCGGAGCUAAUACCGGAUAAUAUAUUGAACCGCAUGGUUCAAUAGUGAAAGACGGUUUUGCUGUCACUUAUAGAUGGAUCCGCGCCGCAUUAGCUAGUUGGUAAGGUAACGGCUUACCAAGGCGACGAUGCGUAGCCGACCUGAGAGGGUGAUCAGCCACACUGGAACUGAGACACGGUCCAGACUCCUACGGGAGGCAGCAGUAGGGAAUCUUCCGCAAUGGGCGAAAGCCUGACGGAGCAACGCCGCGUGAGUGAUGAAGGUCUUCGGAUCGUAAAACUCUGUUAUUAGGGAAGAACAAAAGUGUAAGUAACUAUGCACGUCUUGACGGUACCUAAUCAGAAAGCCACGGCUAACUACGUG